GGGGGGGGGGGGGGGGGGGGGGGGGGGGGGGGGGGCGGGGGGGGGGGCGGGGCUGUGGGGGGGUGCUCGGGUGGCGGGCGGGUGCGUAACGGGUGGGUAACCUGCCCUUGGCUUGGGGAUAGCUGCAGGGACGUGGGGCUGAUGCCGGCUGGGAGCUGCUGCUGCAUGGUGGGGGUGGGAACGUUUCGGCGGUGUGGGAUGGACUCGCGGCUUAUCAGCUUGUUGGUGGGGUAGUGGCUUACCAAGGCUGUGACGGGUAGCCGGCCUGAGCGGGUGAACGGCCACAGUGUGACUGAGAUACGGCCCAGACUCCUACGGGAGGCAGCAGUGGGGAAUAUUGCACAAUGGGCGGAAGCCUGAUGCAGCCACGCCGCGUGCGGGAUGACGGCCUUCGGGUUGUAAACCGCUUUCGCCUGUGACGAAGCGUGAGUGACGGUAAUGGGUAAAGAAGCACCGGCUAACUACGUG
rnacentral:rRNA from 1 species